AUUGAACGCUGGCGGCAGGCUUAACACAUGCAAGUCGAGCGGAGAUGAGGUGCUUGCACCUUAUCUUAGCGGCGGACGGGUGAGUAAUGCUUAGGAAUCUGCCAUUUAGUGGGGGACAACAUUCCGAAAGGAAUGCUAAUACCGCAUACGUCCUACGGGAGAAAGCAGGGGAUCUUCGGACCUUGCGCUAAAUGAUGAGCCUAAGUCGGAUUAGCUAGUUGGUGGGGUAAAGGCCUACCAAGGCGACGAUCUGUAGCGGGUCUGAGAGGAUGAUCCGCCACAGUGGGACUGAGACACGGCCCAGACUCCUACGGGAUGCAGCAGUGGGGAAUAUUGGACAAUGGGCGGAAGCCUGAUCCAGCCAUGCCGCGUGUGUGAAGAAGGCCUUUUGGUUGUAAAGCACUUUAAGCGAGGAGGAGGCUACUAGUACUAAUACUACUGGAUAGUGGACGUUACUCGCAGAAUAAGCACCGGCUAACUCUGUGCCAGCCGCCGCGGUAAAAC
rnacentral:rRNA from 1 species